AUCGCUUCUCGGCCUUUUGGCCAAGAUCAAGUGUAGUAUCUGUUCUUUCCAGAAUAAUACCUGAAAUGUUGGGUACGGUACUCCCUCACUCUUGUAUUAAUUUGAAUUUUGUACCUCAGGGUUAGGCGUUGUGGCUUGCCACACCACUCCCCCGGGUUGUCCUGUUAUUGCAGUACCUCCAGGUUAGGCCCGCUCUCC